GACUGGCUGCCUUGCAGGUGGAGAGCAGCAAGCAGCCUAGACGGAGCAGUGCUGCAGACAGAGACCCAGAGAGCUAAAGGCAGCUCCUGGCAGGCUGCAGGGAUCUGCAGAUUGAGGCCCUGAUGCAAGGGCAAAGAGGGUGCUGGAGCCACUGAUGGGAGUGGCUGGACAGUGGACUGCAGUCCUCCUGGAAGUGGGGGAAACAGAGUGUGGUACAGCUGGAGGGCUGUGUCACUGAAGAGGAUGCUGCGGUCCUGGGAGUGAUGUGGGUUGAGGAACAAAGGUGACAGCGGGUGAGACACCACCAGAAAAGGGUGCAGCACUAAUUCCCCAGACUGCCAGCAGGAGGUGCCGCAGUGUUUCACUGUAGCAGAAUGGCAGAAGUUUUACAGUUCCCAAUGCCUGUUUCGUAACUUACCUUAAAUCAGCGAGGCGUUGCUGAAGGAAUGCUGGGAAAUUGGAGCAAUGACAUCCCGAGGGCCCUAACCAUAAUGAAUGCUGGAGACCAGCUAUUGGGGACAAGCAGUGCCACGCAUCAGAAGGCAUCCAUGCAGCAACAUUCAGUGUUUUGUGACUUGCCCACACAAGGGACACUGCUGGCCGACC